UACGUAGGGGGGCAAGCGUUGUCCGGAAUUAUUGGGCGUAAAGAGCUUGUAGGCGGUCUGUCGCGUCUGCUGUGAAAAUCCGGGGCUCAACCCCGGACUUGCAGUGGGUACGGGCAGACUAGAGUGUGGUAGGGGAGACUGGAAUUCCUGGUGUAGCGGUGAAAUGCGCAGAUAUCAGGAGGAACACCGAUGGCGAAGGCAGGUCUCUGGGCCACUACUGACGCUGAGAAGCGAAAGCAUGGGGAGCGAACAGG
rnacentral:rRNA from 1 species